rnacentral:lncRNA from 1 species
UUUUUUUAGUUUAAAACGAAGAUAAGUAUCCAGACAAGAUAAGCAGACGAAAAGCAAAAGGACAAAGGACUAGUUGGGUGUCGGGUACCUAUUCUUUUUACAUUUGGCAUUUUAACUAUAUGAGGCAGGUGUUACUUGUGAAAAAGAAAGAAUGAUUUAUAUUUGAAAUAGCAUAGUUUAUGCAUAUUUAUGUUUGUAACAACCCACAGCCACAGGCC